GAUGUUUCUUUAAGAGGCACUGCAAACCCGUGCAGACUGCAGGAUGCAACACCUCUGACGACGGCAGCACACCAAAAUGUAAAAGAACAUGUACGUAUAGCCCAGGGUCGGGAAAAAAGGAAAGAACUUCAGAGUUUAACAUGAAGGUAAGUAAAGGACAUAAAGCUAUACCAUAAAGUAAAUGCAUGAAAAUAUAUUUAUGAUUAUGCAUGAUAUAAAAAUAAAUGAGUCAACUGAAUUUUUUUAUCUCAGUGGUUAAAGAAUCCCAGAGUGCUGCCAUGCACUGUUGGCAGUGCUAGCAUUUAUAAUACCAAGUCAUAUAAUGGGACAUGUCUGCUCACCUUUAUCUUAUGCUCACAAGGCAUAGGGAAAAGGUCUGCUCUUGCCAUUAAUCUUGUAUUUUUCCACAUUUCUUCAGCACUCACCUUUUCCUUGGGACCAUUUCAAAGAUAAAUGGUGUUAAUCCUGAUGCCCUGGCUGUUGGCUCCAAUUUUGCUUCUCUGAGUCUGGCCUGCCUGAUUGUCCCCCAGCAGUUUAAUUGCCCUUACAGUUAAUUUCUUGACCUCAGCGGUGGCACGUCAGGUGAUCCAGCUCCACAGUGCAUGGCAUCACGACAGGGGAUUAGGUUACUUCCUAUCGUAACUGCACUGAGGGCUCUGGAAUGCUGUGGGAGGUACGGUGGGGUGGAAAUCGAUCGCCCUGCCAUUGCAGAGUAUUGUAAAUCCUUGAUUUGUAGCGCUGCCACAUUGUGGAGACAGGAGUGGAAAGCCCAGGAAACUAAAGGUGGGCUGAGGAUCGGCAGUCAGGAGGACAUCUGUGAAGAAUCAAGACAGGGACACGGCAGUUUCAGAGAUCAUUUGUCUUUGAGCUGAGCCUCGCUGCGAAAAACACCUGGCGCAGAUGUGUGUCGACAGCUGAAGGUGGUGUAAAAUGUGCUGAGGUUUGUUUCGCCUGGACUUCAGACCUCACUGGGCCUUGCGGUUCAGGGCUUUCCACAGCCGAGCAAGGAGGUGCACCUUGCUGUGAGGUGAGAGAAUAAUAGAGGCUUCUGAUCCUCCUACAUCUGUUUUUCUUGAACUAGCAAGGAGGGGCUCAUGGGAGCUGGAACAUGGGAGCUACAGCACAAGGAAAAUGUGGGAACCUGAAUGAACACACCAAAACAACACAUACGGUGCUUUUGUGCUAGAAAUGAUGUUUUACAAAUGCAAUGAAAACUCCAUAGAGUUCACAUGCUCAUCAGUUGCAUUUUCUGUAAAUCUCUCUGCUUGAACUGCCUAUUUUACGAGCUGAUUUAACUACCUCUGACUGUAACCUGCCAAACCCAUUUAUUAUUGUUUGUUAUUUUAUUGUAUUGUUAGAUCCCUCAUUACAUUUCUAUUACAGUUCAUUCUUUCUUAACUAAUACACUAGGCCAGGCAGUGGAGGACGGCCUCCCCGGGUUCCUCUUUAUUCUUCCCAUUGGGGAGUUUUAUUUUCUUGCCACCAGUGGGUGUUUUUCUUCCCACUGGGUAGUUUAUUUUACCUCAAGCACUCACUUUUUUGGGGGUUCACGCCUGACUUUUCCCCAGUUUUCUGUAAUGUGUCACUGACAUCAUCCCGGAAAAAAAACACUAUGCAAAUAAGUUGAAUUGAAUCUCCUCAUGUGCAUUGUGUAUCAGCAGUAAAAGUAGGAAGAACGCACACUCUAAAAAGGUGCUGAUUAAAGGUCCAUUAGUCAUAGCAAAAAAGUCAAAAUCACACACUCCUCUUCAUGCAGUUAAAAAUAUUUUUUACUGAAAAAUGUUUUGAAAAG